rnacentral:lncRNA from 1 species
AUCAUUGCCAUCACUAUCAUCAUCACCAUCACCAUUGUCAUCAUCACCACCACCAUCACCAUUAUCACCAUCUUCACCAUCACCAUCAUAAUCACCAUCACCAUCAUCAUCACCGUCACUAUCCUUACUAUCACAAUCAUCACCAUCAUCAUCAUUACUAUCAUCAUCACCAUUAUCACCAUCACUAUCAUUACCAUCACCAUCAUCACCAUUACUGUCAUCAUCACCAUCACCAUUAUUGCCAUCAUCACCAUCACCAUAAUCCUUGCCAUCAUCAUCACCAAAAUCAUCACCAUCACCAUCCCUAUCAUCACCACCAUUAUCACCAUCACAUGCCAGUAGUGAGAUGUAAAACAAAUGAAAUUAUCACACAUUGCUGAUGGAAGCUUGGAAAGAGAGAGAGAGAAAAGAAAGAGAGUGGAAAGAACAAAGGGAGGAAGAGAAGGAAAGAAGAAGGGAGUGAAAGAAUUGGGGGAUUGGGGGGAGAAGAGGAAAUAGGAGAGGACUGGAGGGAGGGAAGGGAAGGGGAAAAAAACCUAGGAGGUGGCUUGGGCCCUUUGGCCCUCAAAUCCCUAGGGGCAAAGGGCUCUCAGAUGUGGGGCAGGGUUGGGAGGAGGAGUGCUGCAGGGAUGGCUCCCUCACCCAGCAGCCAGAAAGUCCUGAGUGCUCAGGACAGCCCAAGAAUGAUAUACAGGGUGGGCCCAACCUCCUAUGGCCCCUGCACCUCCCUCCCAGCAGGACACUGCAACUCUCCAUCCACUCCUCCCCACUACCAAAAGAACACAAAAAUAGGAGGAUGGACUGCUGGUGGUCGGUGGUCCACAAACAGAUGGCCUCAUUUCAACUCCAUCCUCAGCCUGGAUCCUGCCUGGGUAUGAAUCCACCUGGCCCAGUAAGCCAGGCCAGGUACAGGAGGGGCACCCAGGCUUGUCUGCAGGCAACACCAGCAGCACUACCACUCUGUGAUCAGCUUGGGGCAUCCUGCCCUUAGGAUCAAACACUAGUGUCAGGGGUGUCCUCAUCAGAGUGAGUCUGCCUUUCAUGAAUGUGGGAUAUAGCCAUGCCUGCAGGGUUAUACUCC